GAAACAGUGGAUAUCUGAAAUUUUUUAUAUAUAAUAAUUUGAUAAAAUAUUAACGAAAAAAUUAAUAAAAAUAAAUAAAAUAAAAUUACAGUAUACUAAAUUGAUAAAGUUUAAAUCACAAGGCACUAAAAUGAGGAAGUGCAAAAUUACAAGAGUGGUAUUUAAAGUUUUUUCUAAAUUCUACAACUAAUAACCGAGCUUAAAAUUUUUGGACCAGUAUUUUGGGCUCAACAAAUUACUACGGUAUAUAUUCGAUUUGCCAGUCGGGAGUGUAAGAUGGUUCUCGGAUUGCUUUGACAAUUUUGAAGCAGAGCCAGAGAAUAAGACAUGAUAUUUAUAACAUUCCAAUAAUCACACAUCAGAUAAAAAAAAAAAAUUCUAAUUAAAAAUAUAA
rnacentral:lncRNA from 1 species